ACACAUGCAGUCGAGGGGUAACAGAUCUUCGGAUGCUGACGACCGGCGAACGGGUGAGUAACACGUAUGCAACUUACCCAUAACUCGGGAAUAGCCCAAAGAAAUUUGGAUUAAUACCCAAUAAUACAGGCGUACCGCAUGGUAUUCUUCGUUAAAGAAUAAUCGGUUAUGGAUAGGCAUGCGUUCUAUUAGGUAGUUGGUGAGGUAACGGCUCACCAAGCCGACGAUGGAUAGGGGAACUGAGAGGUUGUCCCCCCACACUGGUACUGAGACACGGACCAGACUCCUACGGGAGGCAGCAGUGAGGAAUAUUGGUCAAUGGACGAAAGUCUGAACCAGCCAAAUCGCGUGAAGGAAGAAGGUAUUAUGUAUCGUAAACUUCUUUUGUAAGAGAGUAAAGUGCACUACGUGUAGUGUAUUGCAAGUACCUUACGAAUAAGCAUCGGCUAAUUCCGUGCCAGCAGCCGCGGUAAUACGGAAGAUGCAAGUGUUAUCCGGAUUUAUUGGGUUUAAAGGGUGCGUAGGUGGUCUAAUAAGUCAGUGGUGAAAUCUCUUUGCUUAACAAGGAAAUUGCCAUUGAAACUGUUAGACUUGAGAAUGGACGAGGUAGGCGGAAUUCGUAGUGUAGCGGUGAAAUGCAUAGAUAUUACGAAGAACUCCAAUAGUGUAGACUGCUUACCAGACCAUAUCUGACACUAAGGCACGAAAGUGUGGGUAUCAAACAGGAUUAGAUACCCUGGUAGUCCACACAGUAAACGAUGAAUACUAACUGUUUGCGAUAUACAGCAAGUGGUCGAGCGAAAGCGUUAAGUAUUCCACCUGGGAAGUAUGCCGGCACGGUGAAACUCAAGGAAUUGACGGGGGCCCGCACAGCGAGACAUGUGGUUAUCGAUAUACGCGAGACUACCGGGC
rnacentral:rRNA from 1 species